UAGACGGCGGUUGCGUACGCCCGUGCGGCGGUACUACACAAUAUACAUUGUAUGCAGCGCCGCCGUUCUUUUUGUUCCAUCGUUUGCCUAGACCGCGUCGUACGCUCGGUGCUUCUCUCCCACCGUCCAUUGCCGUCUGUCCUGUCAAUUGGCUCAGACAGUCAGACCAGGGUAGUUUUUAUACAAUUAAUUAUUGUAUAACGACUGCCUUGGUCUGGAAUCCGGAUUGUCGAACAUUUUUGGUUAAAUGCGGAGUCGAACGCCAUUGUUGAAACUCAAAAUGAGUCUAUUCAUCAGUCAAUAUGGGCGGAAGAAAAUUCAAGAUGGCGUCCAAACUGGCCGGUGUAUACACACUCUCAAAACUGAUCCGUUUUCACCUUCUUCUGUGGUGAUGGUAAUUUUAUCCUAAACAAUUCCAUUUUCGUGUGCGUACUUCAGAAAUACAAUUACCCUGGUCCUGUAACAGCCUCACUCCGAGAUUAACCGUUUUUAUGUACGUAUUCCAUGCAGUCUAAAUGCAAAUGUCCACAGCCUUGGCAUUUGUGUUUCCAUCCGAUGGUCUAACUAACUAUGGGAUAGAAGUCUGUGUGCCAAGGCUGGGGGUAUUUAGAUUGCUUGGUAUACGUACACAAAAACGUCUAUACUUGUCGUUAUAUUACAUCAGUGCCACUAUAGUUCAGACCAUUAGAUUAUCUAAAAUAUGUACAUGAAAACAGGAGCUGUCUUGAGAUAAUACUUAUUACUGUACCUUACCAACUAAUAAAUAAUAAUGUUGUUUCUGAAGCUUAAUAUAAAUAAAAUUCAAUAAUUUAAAGACAUAUCUGAUUAUACAAAUAACAUUUUUAAGUUGAAUGUAACGCAGAUUUUUUUCUAAUAUGUAAAACAGUCCAACACUGUUUAUAAUGAAAUGAGUUUUAAUAAUAAAAUAAUAAUAAUAGUAA